rnacentral:rRNA from 1 species
UCCGUAGGUGAACCUGCGGAAGGAUCAUUAAUUGUAUAACGGGGGCCGGCGAGGGAUUGCGCACUUCGGUGCGCCUUUCUUCCCCGCCCUGUCUGAUACUACCCAUGUCUUUUGCGUACCAAUUGUUUCCUCGGUGGGCUUGCCCGCCGGUUGGACACUAUACAACCUUUUGUAAUUGCAGUCAGCGUCAGAAAAACAUAAUAAUUACAACUUUCAACAACGGAUCUCUUGGUUCUGGCAUCGAUGAAGAACGCAGCGAAAUGCGAUAAGUAGUGUGAAUUGCAGAAUUCAGUGAAUCAUCGAAUCUUUGAACGCACAUUGCGCCCCUUGGUAUUCCAUGGGGCAUGCCUGUUCGAGCGUCAUUUGUACCCUCAAGCUCUGCUUGGUGUUGGGUGUUUGUCUUUGCUAUGCCUAGACUCGCCUUAAAUUUAUUGGCAGCCUGUAUAUUGGUUUGAAGCGCAGCACAAUUUGCGCUCCUGGCCCAUGACUAUUGGCACCCAUAAGAUUAUUUAUCACUUUUGACCUCGGAUCAGGUAGGGAUACCCGCUGAACUUAAGCAUAUCAAUAAGCGGAGGGAAGUCGGACUGGCCAAGGGGCACACCAGGGGGGGGGGAUA